rnacentral:tRNA from 1 species
GUUUUAAUAGUUUAAAUAAAAUAUUGGUCUUGUAAACCAAAGAUAAGAUAUAUUUUAAAACU